rnacentral:rRNA from 1 species
CCUACGGGUGGCUGCAGUGGGGAAUAUUGCACAAUGGGGGGAACCCUGAUGCAGCGACGCCGCGUGAGUGAUGAAGUAUUUCGGUAUGUAAACUUCUAUCAGCAGGGAAGAAAAUGACGGUACCUGACUAAGAAGCCCCGGCUAACUACGUGCCAGCAGCCGCGGUAAUACGUAGGGGUCAAGCGUUAUCCGGAUUUACUGGGUGUAAAGGGAGCGUAGACGGCAUGGCAAGUCUGAUGUGAAAACCCGGGGCACACCGCCGGGACUGCAUUGGAAACUGCCAGGCUAGAGUGUCGGAGAGGGAAGUGGAAUUCCUAGUGUAGCGGUGAAAUGCGUAGAUAUUAGGAGGAACACCAGUGGCGAAGGCGGCUUGCUGGACGAUAACUGACGUUGAGGCUCGAAAGCGUGGGGAGCAAACAGGAUUAGAUACCCUGGUAGUC